UGUGGAACACAGUUUAAUUUGUUUUAAUUUGUUUGCAAUGCGCACUUUUAUGCUGCCCGCUUGAAACCACCACCACCUCCGUUUUUAUCAUUAGUCUUAUUGCCUUCGUUUUCUUAAGCGCCAUCUUAUCAUCACCUCUGAUUUGCAGGUUUCCUGGAUGAACUACAUUUCCCAUAAUGCAUGUUUGCCCGGGACAUUGACGGUGGAGGAAGGUCCAUGAGUUUUCGCUGUUCGCCGGUAAUGCAAGUGCGUACUGCUCAAGUGUGUGGUUGUGAGAUCAUCUCGAAAUCCUUUUAACAGUUCAGGAACAACGUGAUGUAAAUAUGAGACGGGCCCUCGUCCUUCGUGCACUUCCUGUGUACCUGCGUGAAGAUGCCUCCAAGUUUUUCAGGACCUGUAAUGUAAGUGUACUGGCCUCACUAUCAAUCCCUUUGCUUAGC